rnacentral:rRNA from 1 species
GAUGAACGCUGGCGGCGUGCCUAAUACAUGCAAGUCGAGCGAACAGACGAGGAGCUUGCUCCUCUGACGUUAGCGGCGGACGGGUGAGUAACACGUGGAUAACCUACCUAUAAGACUGGGAUAACUUCGGGAAACCGGAGCUAAUACCGGAUAAUAUAUUGAACCGCAUGGUUCAAUAGUGAAAGCCGGUUUUGCUGUCACUUAUUGAUGGAUCCGCGCCGCAUUAGCUAGUUGGUAAGGUAACGGCUUACCAAGGCAACGAUGCGUAGCCGACCUGAGAGGGUGAUCGGCCACACUGGAACUGAGACACGGUCCAGACUCCUACGGGAGGCAGCAGUAGGGAAUCUUCCGCAAUGGGCGAAAGCUUGACGGAGCAACGCCGCGUGAGUGAUGAAGGUCUUCGGAUCGUAAAACUCUGUUAUUAGGGAAGAACAAAUGUGUAAGUAACUAUGCACGUCUUGACGGUACCUAAUCAGAAAGCCACGGCUAACUACGUG